CCUACGGGCGGCAGCAGUGAGGAAUAUUGGUCAAUGGACGCGAGCCUGAACCAGCCAAGUAGCGUGAGGGAUGACUGUCCUAUGAGUUGUAAACUGCUUUUAUAAAAGGAUAAAACGAGAUACGUGUGUCGGGUUGCAUGUAUCGUAUGAAUAAGGAUCGGCUAACUCCGUGCCAGCAGCCGCGGUAAUACGGAGGAUUCGAGCGUUAUCCGGAUUUAUUGGGUUUAAAGGGUGCGUAGACGGUUCGUUAAGUCAGUUGUGAAAGCUUGGGGCUCAACCGUGGAAUUGCCAUUGAUACUGGCAGUCUUGAGUUCAGUUGCGGUAGGCGGAAUUCAUGGUGUAGCGGUGAAAUGCUUAGAUAUCACACAGAACACCGAUUGCGAAGGCAGCUUACUAAACUACGACUGACAUUGAUGCACGAAAGUGUGGGGAUCAAACAGGAUUAGAUACCCGUGUAGUC
rnacentral:rRNA from 1 species